GCCAAGGUGGCAUAGUGGUUUGAGUGUUGGACUAUGGCUAUGGAAACCAGGGUUUGAAUCCCGGCUUGGCCA